rnacentral:rRNA from 1 species
UAACGCGUGUGGUAACCUGUCCCUGUACACACGGAUAACAUACCUAAAGGUAUGCUAAUACGAGAUAACAUGAGAAAGUCGCAUGGCUUUCUUAUCAAAGCUCUGGCGGUACAGGAUGGACCCGCGUCUGAUUAGCUAGUUGGUAAGGUAACGGCUUACCAAGGCGACGAUCACUAGCCGACCUGAUAGGGUGAUCGGCCACGUUGGAACUGACACACUCGUCCACAACUCCUACACGGAGGCAGCUGUGGGGAAUAUUGCUCUAUGGGCGAAAGCCUGAUGCAGCAACGCGCGCGUGAGCGAUGAAGGCCUUCGGGUAGUUAAGUUCUGUCCUCAAGGAAGAUAAUUACGGUACUUGAGGAGGAAGCCCCGGCUAACUACGUGCCAGCAGCCGCGGUAAUACGUAGGGGGCUAGUGUUAUCCGGAAUUACUGGGCGUAAAGGGUGCGUAGUCGGUCUUUCAAGUCAGGAGUGAAAGGGUUCGGCUCAGCGGUAGUAAGCUCUUGAAACUGUAAGACUUGAGUGCAGGAGAGGAGAGUAGAAUUCCUAGUGUAGCGGUGAAAUGGGUAGAGAUAUGGACGAACACCAGUGGGGAAGGCGUCUUCCUGGUCUGUAACUGACAGUGAGGCGAGAAAGCGUGGCGAGCAAACAGGAUUACAUACCCUGUGUAGUCCACGCCGUAAACGAUAAGUGCUAAGUGUUGGGGGUCGAACAUCAGUGCCGAAGUUAAGGCAUUAAGCACUCCGCUUGGGGAGUACGGUGGCAAGACUGAAACUCAAAGGAAUUGACGGGGACCCGCACAAGCGGUGGAGCAUGUGGUUUAAUUAGAAUCGACGCGAAGAACCUUGCCAGGUCUUGACAUGCCAUUGACCGUUCUAGAGAUAGGAUUUUCCCUUGGGGGACAACGGAUGACAGGUGGUGCACGGUUGUCGUCAGCUCGGGUGUUGAGAUGGUGGGUCAAGUCCCGCAACGAGGGCCACCCCUGUAGUUAGUUGCCAGCUUUCAGCUGGGGAGUCCAGCGAGAUCGCCAGUGACAAACUGGAGGAAGGGGGGGACGACGUCAAAUCAUCACGCCCCUUAUGACCUGGGCUACACACGUGGUACAAUGGUUGGUACAAUGAGAAGUGAAGCGGUGACGCGGAGCAAACCUCACAAAGCCAAUCUCAGUUCGGAUUGUAGGCUGCAACUCGCCUACAUGAAGUGGGAAUCGCUAGUAAUCGCGAAUCAGAAUGUGGCGGCGAAUAAGUUCCCGGGUCUUGCACUCACCGCCCGUCA